rnacentral:tRNA from 1 species
GGAGGGUGGGCCGGACGGUAAGGCAGCAGUUUGCUAAACUGCGACGGGGUUAAACUCGUCAGUGGGUUCGACUCCCACACCCUCCGCCA